GACGAAGGAUGCAAGCUUUAUCCUUAUUCAUUUUUUUUAAAUUUCGCUUAUUUGUCCAAAUAAUUCAUUGUUGAAAUCUCGCAGCUUAACUGCGAAAUUGCCAUUGAUACUGUAUGGCUUGAGUAUAGUUGCCGUUGGCGGAAUAUGACAUGUAGUGGUGAAAUACAUAGAGAUGUCAUAGAACACCGAUUGCGAAGGCAGCUAACGAAACUAUAACUGACACUGAGGCUCGAAAGUGCGGGGAUCAAACAGG
rnacentral:rRNA from 1 species